UACGGAGGGGGCUAGCGUUGUUCGGAAUGACUGGGCGUAAAGCGCGCGUAGGCGGAUCAGCAAGUCAGGGGUGAAAGCCCGGGGCUCAACCCUGGAAUGGCCCUUGAUACUGUUGGUCUUGAGUUCGAGAGAGGUGAGUGGAAUUCCGAGUGUGGAGGUGAAAUUCGUAGAUAUUCGGAGAAACACCAGUGGCGAAGGCGGCUCACUGGCUCGACACUGACGCUGAGGUGCGAAAGCGUGGGGAGCAAACAGG
rnacentral:rRNA from 1 species